rnacentral:rRNA from 1 species
ACGGAAGUCGUUACGAAAUGGAAUGAAGAUUUAUCUGAUUGAAGUUUUGUAACAAUGGCUUUAGUGGCGGACUGGUGAGUAACACAUAAGCAAUCUACCUAUUAGAGGGGAAUAACAAUGAGAAAUCAUUGCUAAUACCGCAUAAGCCUGUAGUACCGCAUGGUACAGCAAGAAAAGGAGCAAUCCGCUAAUAGAUGAGCUUGCGGCUGAUUAGCUAGUUGGUGUGGUAACGGCAUACCAAGGCAACGAUCAGUAGCCGGGCUGAGAGGCUCUUCGGCCACAUUGGGACUGAGAUACGGCCCAGACUCCUACGGGAGGCAGCAGUCGGGAAUUUUGCGCAAUGGAGGAAACUCUGACGCAGUGACGCCGCGUAUAGGAAGAAGGUUUUCGGAUUGUAAACUAUUUUAGUCAGGGAAGAAAAAUGACAGUACCUGAAGAAUAAGCUCCGGCUAACUACGUGCCAGCAGCCGCGGUAAUACGUAGGGAGCAAGCGUUAUCCGGAUUUAUUGGGUGUAAAGGGUGCGUAGACGGGAAGACAAGUUGGUUGUGAAAGCCCUCGGCUCAACUGAGGAACUGCAACCAAAACUAUCAUUCUUGAGUGCGGGAGAGGAAAGUGGAAUUCCUAGUGUAGCGGUGAAAUGCGUAGAUAUUAGGAGGAACACCAGUGGCGAAGGCGACUUUCUGGACCGUAACUGACGUUGAGGCACGAAAGUGUG